ensembl:lncRNA
GAGCCAGAGAGCAAUGAUUGGUCAGACCAUAGAAAUACAUAGAAGACAGCGCCCCAGCGGAUCUAGUCAGCUAUAUGUAUCUAUGGUCGGCACGUCGAGUAGCAUCUCUGGCUGCUGUUGACCUGGUUUUUGGAGUAAAACACGGUGGAAGCUGAAUUAGUGAGGAUGACUCCUGCUCCUGUCAUCUCUAAGCUCCUCCCACAUCUUUACCUGCACAUGAGGAAAAUCACUCCUGUAGAAUGCAGAUGUUCAGAGGGAGAUGAUGCCACAUCUGGUCCAGCUGAUGGAAGGUCUUGAAGUUCUCUGACUGGCCUCGACUGAAGAUGGUCGUCUCACUGGAUUUAAGGUUCAGAUGCUCAGUAACAAACUCCACCAAUGAGCCAACAGGGAAGUUUUAGGUUUAUUAAAUGUUGCUAUGAAGGUAUCACUGUUUUUCUUUGUGAAUGCAAUGUGCUCCAACUGAAAGUUGAAUUAGAACUUAGAAGUAAAUCCUUCCAUCUGAAAGGAUUUAGUUGCAUUAAUAACCUCAUAACAUUCUAAUUUUUAUUCCAGUCUUGGUUGGAAAUAGAAUCUCUGUAUUGAUUCAGGUAAAAACUGAACUUCACAGCAUGUUGGAGCAAAACAACCAGAUGAAAACUGUGAUGGUGUUGGAUUGUCAGACCGUAAUGUUGCAGCUCAAAGCAGCUUUUCUAGCUCAGUUCAUUCUGACAUUCAGCUAUGAAUCAACACAGCAGAUGGUGAUCCAUGCUGUGGAAAUCUCACAUCUCCUGAUUUAAUGGAGCUGCUUUGCACUUUUUACACUGUUUAUUCACCAACUCUUUAUUUAAUAAAAGUCCUAUCUAGUUUUUAUGAGGAAUGUGAUGCUUUAAUUUCUCUGUGAAUAACUGCAGUCUAAUGGAACAGCUGGAGUUGUAACAUCUGUCCUGAUAUUGAUCAUGAAGUAUUGAUCAGAAUACUUAUGGUCAGCAGUCAUCCCUGAAGUUUUACAUUAAAAUCUUUACUUGUGUUGUGAACUUUGGUAAGAAGCAGAAACUUUAGCGUUGCCAUGGAUACAUGAGUGUUAAAUUCUGUCCAUGUUUCCAUUUUGGGAAAUGCAGUCCAGGAGAUGAGUUUGUUUUUACUGCCAGCUACAUUCAGUCUGAGAUAUUAAGAAUAAAUAAAUGUGCAUAAUGUUGAAAUGAAAAGAUUUCAUUUUUAUUUAUUCCUACAGCUGGUGCUGGUAAAGUUCCAGAAUGUGGAGGAAUUUAGUCUCACAAUCACAGACAAUAAAUAUUAUCUGAAAGUCUGGUGAUUGUUGUUUAUCAGCACAAUACAAAAAGAUUCAUGUUAGACAUAUUCCAGUUAAGACUCUAGAAUAUCAUGAUUUAUGUAAAUUUACCUCAAUAAUAUGAAUGUUCAGGUUAAGAUUGUGCAGUGAUAUUUAUUAUGUAAGUUUAGCUGAUUAAAGUUUAUGACUCUGCACUACAAUAUUAUUUAUUAUUAAAAUUAACAUCAUUAUUAUAAUAUUUAGGGUCAGACCCUACAGUAUUGAGAUUAAGAAAUCGUUCUAUAAAUUUUCUAUAAAAUGUAAGUACACUGAACUCAUUUGGAUAUAUUCGAGACUCUACAAUAUUAUUUGACACAAAUCUAUCUAAAUCCAAAUUUUAAUCAUUUUUACUCCAAACAUGUACUAGACUGAUUUAAAUAUUAAAAUCACUCCUUUCUAAUCCUCUGCUGUACGUUCAAACCUGAUGCCUUAAAUAGAAACAAGUAUCUGAUUGAAGGAACUUCUGCAGAGUCCUGGUUCCAGAACAUGAUGAUAGAAUUAUAGACAAACUUUAACAAAAGCUGCCUGAGAGUUUACAGGUUUUUAUGUUAGAUUUCUUCAGUAAUUUAAUGAGUUAUCAGCAAAAAUCAAGUGUUCAUUUGAUGAACUUCAUUUCCUUAAACAUCCAGAAUUGGAGCUCAUAUCUUUGGCAGCUGUAAAGUUUCUGCUCCUUCAAAGUUCACAACACAAUGAAUGAAUUCCUAAAACACUCUCAAUGCUGGAGAGCGUUUGAUGCUGAAGCAGUGAUCAGUUUUUCUGUUUCUUCUCUGGAGAUGCACAAUGAGGGAUGUCUGCAGAGACUGAGAAAGAGUCUCACCACAUCCUGACAUGAGGAAAAAGACUUUACUGAAGACUACAAUGAGAAAAACUAUCAGACAGCAGACGGCUGCAUUCAAGGUGAGCUCUGAACAUUUGAUCUGGAACAGGAAUUCAAUCACGGCAGCAUGAGCUUCAUUUCAGUCUGUAGCUGCUGAAUUCAUGGAUGAAUCAUCUGGCACUAGAGAGGAAGACCAUCAAACAUCCACGUCAGCUGAUGGAGGUCCAAGAGUCUCACCCAACAAACAACCUACAGAGUGAAGACCUCCAAUCUGAUUGGACGGCCUCCUAUUCAGCCACGUGUGAACAAAUG